rnacentral:rRNA from 1 species
AGUGAACGCUGGCGGUAGGCCUAACACAUGCAAGUCGAACGGCAGCACAGUAAGAGCUUGCUCUUACGGGUGGCGAGUGGCGGACGGGUGAGGAAUACAUCGGCAUCUACUUUUUCGUGGGGGAUAGCGUAGGGAAACUUACGCUAAUACAGCAUAUGACCUACGGGUGAAAGCAGGGGAUCUUCGCACCUUGCGCGAUUGAAUGAGCCGAUGUCGCAUUAGCUAGUUGGCGGGGUAAAGGCCCACCAAGGCGACGAUACGUAGCUGGUCUGAGAGGAUGAUCAGCCACACUGGAACUGAGACACGGUCCAGACUCCUACGGGAGGCAGCAGUGGGGAAUAUUGGACAAUGGGCGCAAGCCUGAUCCAGCCAUACCGCGUGGGUGAAGAAGGCCUUCGGGUUGUAAAGCCCUUUUGUUGGGAAAGAAAAGCAGCAGGUUAAUACCCCGCUGUUCUGACGGUACCCAAAGAAUAAGCACCGGCUAACUUCGUG